GACGAACGCUGGCGGCGUGCUUAACACAUGCAAGUCGAACGGAAAGGCCCUGCUUUUGUGGGGUGCUCGAGUGGCGAACGGGUGAGUAACACGUGAGUAACCUGCCCUUGACUUUGGGAUAACUUCAUGAAACUUGGGCUAAUACCGGAUAGGAGCUCCUGCUGCAUGGUGGGGGUUGGAAAGUUUCGGCGGUUGGGGAUGGACUCGCGGCUUAUCAGCUUGUUGGUGGGGUAGUGGCUUACCAAGGCUUUGACGGGUAGCCGGCCUGAGAGGGUGACCGGCAACAUUGGGACUGAGAUACGGCCCAGACUACUACGGGAGGCAGAAGUGGGGAAUAUUGCACAAUGGGCGGAAGCAUGAUGCAGCAAAGCCGCGUGCGGGAUGACGGCAUUCGGGUUGUAAACCGCUGUCGCCUGUGACGAAGCGUGAGUGACGGUAAUGGGUAAAGAAGCACCGGCUAACUACGUG
rnacentral:rRNA from 1 species